rnacentral:rRNA from 1 species
CCUACGGGUGGCAGCAGUGGGGAAUAUUGGGCAAUGGGCGCAAGCCUGACCCAGCAAUGCCGCGUGAAGGAAGAAGGCUUUCGGGUUGUAAACUUCUUUGACAGGGGAAGAGCAGAAGACGGUACCCUGAAAACAAGCCACGGCUAACUACGUGCCAGCAGCCGCGGUAAUACGUAGGUUGCAAGCGUUGUCCGGAGUUACUGGGUGUAGAGGGCGUGUAGCCGGGAAGGCCAGUCAGAUGUGAAAUCCGGGGGCUCAAACUCCGAACUUCAUUUGAAACUGUUUUUCUUGAGUACUGGAGAGGCAGACCGAAUUCCUGGUGUAGGGGUGAAAUGCGUAGAUAUUAGGAGGAACACCAGUGGCGAAGGCGGUCUGCUGGACAGCAACUGACGGUGAGGCGCGAAAGCGUGGGGAGCAAACAGGAUUAGAUACCCUUGUAGUC